AUGUGCACCUUCUACAGAGGAACCAUGGAGAGCGUCCGGACCAGCAACAUCACUGUGUGGUACGACGCCUGCUCCACAUCCUGCAGGAAGACCCUCCAACGCAUCAUGAGAGCAGCUGAGAAGAUCGUGGGUGCCUCUCACCUCCCUACAAACAUCUCCAUCUCUCCUCACCUAUUAACUCUGCUGUUUCUAGUCAUUCUAACAGGUGUCAGCUGUGAAGAACUCACUGCAGUCAAGAAUGAAGAGUCCAGUUUAGAAGGAAGCUCUGUUACUCUGUCCUACACUUACUCUAAAACACCAGCUCCUGGUGAUGAUUUCUUCUGGUAUCGACAAUAUCCAGGAAAACCACCAGAAUUCCUCCUGCAUAUCUCUGGACUCAACAAGUCAAGAGCAGCAGAGUCUCUGAAAUCAGCCACAAGGUUCUCCACUAAACUGGGAGAAAACAAACAAAAAGUAGAUCUGGUGAUCUCCUCUGCUGCAGUGUCUGACUCUGCUGUGCACUACUGUGCUCUGCAUCCCACAGUGACAGGAAACAGCAACACUCUGUACAAAAACCUUUGGAGCAAAGACAACGCAAUACUCCACAACGUCCACUAGAGGGCCUCACACACUGUUAAAG